AGAAAAUUAAAGAAGUUAAUCUAAAAUAUAAGAAAGUCCAAAAAUGUUACCUAAAUACUUUUAUAAUUGCAUAUGAAGUUGCAACCAGACUUAUUCUGUUCCCUUAACACUCAAAGUGUGCUUUCAUCUCCCAGAUCAGGUCAUUCCAAUGCAGUAACAAGACACAGUGCUUUAACGCACUAUUCUUCAGUCAAGGGUUUACCACACAGCACAAAACUAGCUCUAUUUUCAGAAUAGACCAUCCAUCCCUUUUUUUAUUCCCUAUCCCAGGAAUGGGCAGCGAAGCUAAAAAUCCCACUGCAGUUCAUCAGUUCUCUUCAGGUUAGUAGCUAGGCAUGAAACAUAGCUGAAGGAAGAUGUUUACAAUUUCUCUCUUUUACUUACAGUUACCCUUCUUUCUUCCUUGGAAACCAGAACUGCCCAAUGAAGCAGUAUCAAGUACUGUACAACCAUCUCAAGUGGAAAGGCAGCACAUCCUUAUUCUGGAAAAGCUCCUUCUUGUAUCGUCAUCAUCACACUAACCAAGUAAGACUCCAUAAGACUUUUUUUUAAGUACUCCUGCUGCUAAGAUGAUCUGUGAUAGUGAUGCCUUAAGUUUCAGCUUUCAUAUUUUUCAGAUUCUGUACUGUCUUAGUAACUCUGAACUUUAUAUAAAGUGUUAGCAAGUCCUCUUCACACCUGAAUUAAAUAAAACAAUCCUUUUCCAGCCUGAGAACCAAGGACACUGUUACAGCUUCAGGCCCAAAAAGUACUAACAACAGCAAAUUGAGGAGACCAAAGUGGGAGGAUAGGACUUCAUAACCUGAAGCUGUAAUUGGACAAUUAAUCCCAAUAUGUAAAUAGACCAAAACUUAUUAAAGCGUGAAAACUCAUGACCAGUCAUACAUCUUGGGUGAGCCAUGGCUGGGCUCUUGUACUGUCCAAAGUGUAUCCUUUGAAGUCCUUUUAAUAAAUACCUACUUUAUUCCUUUAACACUGUUUAGCCUCUGCUCCAGGUUAGCCUCUCUAAACAUCAAUUGUUUAGUUACAAAGUGACCAACUUCAAGUUCCAUGACUUUCAGCAUCAAGGCAAGCUCCUGUCUCAACAGUAAAAAAGCAUCUACUUAGAAGCCACACUGCAGUGUCUUAAAGGACCUGGCAAAACCUGUUUCUCCAACCUGUACAAAUGUGUAGGAGGAACUUGACAGUGAUGGAGGCAGUUCAACCUCUCCUUACCUCACAGCAACUUGUACUUUUCAAACUCCUAGUUAAAGGAGAGUUCUAGCCUCUAUAAUUUAAGAGCUGUUACUUGUUAACACAGCUUGAUUACAACUGCUUAAGCAUCCCGUAUAAGUACUUGAAAAGGGUCAUCACCUACAGACAACUGCUUGCUAAAAACCUCACAUAUAUGUUUUGGGGGUGGCAGGAACUCAAGAGGCAAUAAAAAGGAAAAUAGACUAGAGAAUCUCCAGUUUAGAAGUCCACACCACUCUGCUAGAGGCAAGAACACACUGUAAAUUGUUACCUUCAUCUACUCUACACCUGCUUUUUUUGUAAAUAUUCACAAGGAGAUGACGGAGCCAGUCAGACCUUUGGGCUCAUGGAGUCUUGCCAUUCUCAUACACCCCUCAAGUAAGAACGUCUGACAACAGCAGUGCAUUGUAGCACUGCUGCUGUUAUUAUUGUCAAUAACAGGCCUUUUGCCCUUGCCCUUUUAGAAGUGAUGUUUUUGGUCUUCUUUAUUAUACUUUUUAGAAGACAAUGUCCUUCUUCAGAAGCAGUGAAGUCUUAACAUGACUGAGAUAUCACCUAGAAAUAAGGACUCUGCCUAAUACAACAUGCGUUCCCAAGAAUUCUUGUUUACUGGAACAGAAAAACACUCCUUCAGUGCCAAACACUGGUUCAGUAAACAGUGUUCAGCACCAGUAUUUAUAGCUGUGCUUUUAGGUUUAGUUUCAGAGGGACAUCACCACAUACAGCCACCUCCUGCUACCACAAUGGCAUUGGCUACAAGAGCUCCCUACACUCACACAAGUCAACAGGAGAGGAUGGAGGAACACAGAAGUAGUGCCAACGGUACCUGCUCUGAGAAACAAUGCCAGUACCACUGCUUCCCUCAACAUCAUCCCCUUCCCUCCUCUGCAAAACAGCUUUGGAAUCUGUUAGCCUACUUGAACCAGAUUAGGAAGAAGCCUAGGAAGCAUGACAAAAACCCUCAGAGGGGUCAAGAGGCUGGGGAAGGAGAGGCAGCCAAAACUCACUCUGUGGCCAGCUGGCUGCUGCUAAGUGGAAGAGUAUGCACACAGUUUAAAAACAACAUUGUUCUAUGGGGGUAACUCCAAUAUAUUCUCCCUAAAACAGUGUGCUAGCAAAAUACUAUUUCCUGCACACAUUUACAGUCUCCCCUAAGUAUCACUGUGGGCCAAAAGAACCUCACACAAAAGCAUGACACUGAACAUUCAUGGCACAGUCACUGGUAAGCCUGAGCAGGGAAGUCUGGAAAGGAGGAGGACAAGCCCAGAGGAAAACACAGUAACCAGCUAAACUGAUGAGUCACAGAAGGCAGUUGAUGUGCUGACGUACAUCCCACCAUCAAGUGGAAGCCCACAUAUUUCUACAAGAUGCUGUCCUCUGACACUACCAGAGGAAACACUUCUACCCAUGACAAAAUGGCCUUUUAACAAGCAGAGCCAAAGCUUCCUGUGACCAGGCAAAAAGAGAAAGUUGAGUAACCUUUACCCAUAUUCCUAGAAGUCAGGCAUUUGGAUGCCUCAAGCAAGCAUAAGAUUUUGCUUCUAACAGGAUCUUUGUAAAAGAAGGGUUAAGGAAACAUAACUACACAGGUGACCAUUAACAGGGACAUUUGAGGUGGACUUUAAUGUAAGUCCAUUUUCAGUCAGUAUUUACAGUGAUCCUUUUCCUCAAAAUUCCUAAUAAAAAGCUUGCCUAGCAAUAAGGCCAUUUUGCAAAACCAUCACCACAUUGGUUUUCAUUUUCCUGCUAGUUCAGGAAAGGCACUUCUAUCUUCACCUUCCCCCACCCCUUCUCUCCAAGCAAUAGGAAUAGGUGAACAAGGUAAAAGCAUUACCUGGAAUGAAACAAGCCACAUUAAGGCAAGAGGCAGCCAGAUAUACCAGCAGAUAUGGAUGUGCUGAUUCCUAUGUACUAAUUACUGACAAAUGAGGUAACGGGGGAAAAAAAAAAUUACACAAGCUGUGCCUCUGAUCUCUGCUAUGCUAGAAUUCUUCCCAACUCCACUCCAGAGAAAUCCUUUACCUGCUUCUCUUUCUUGCAGCAAGACCUCAGUUCUCCCCUUCAGAAGAGAAGAUCCUGUGUAUCCUUAAGGAAAUUUGGGACUCUGCACUGUAAGUCAGCUUCAACUUUGCCUUUACCAAACCCUCGGAAGUCACACAGUUACAAACAGUACACCCCUAUCGGCAGCAGCCUACAGAUUGAAGUCUUGUCCUUUUCAACAGGUUGAUCCUAUUUAAUCGCAGUGAAAACGAGUCACACUUGCUACGCACCGGGCUUGAGCAGAGAGAUGGCAACAUAACAUUUCGUUUGCCUUCUUACUGAUAGUAAAGUAGAAACCAAACCCCACCCCUCCAAAAAAAUCCUCAAAACAAACAAACCCAACUAAAUCUGGAAGCUUCACUAAAGCAAGAUUCUUUAUGGAUACAAAAGUUAUUUCAGGAUCUUAACAUUAAGGAGAGGCACACAUGGUUUCCACCAGCACUUCCCGGGGGAGACGUCGCCGGUAGGUGCCGGGAAGGGGCUGAGCCCGGCUGUGCCGCGCUCGCUGUCCCGCACGCUCCGGACCGAUGAGGCACACACGGGCUCCCGCCCAGCUCCCGAGCGCGUCACGGUCGGCGCCGCGCGACUCCCCCGGCCCGCGGGGAGAAAGAGGAGGCAGCCCAGCCUGACUCACCGCGGAGGGUGGGGCGAGCGCGCCGGCCCGGACUGCGGGUGGCGGUGGUCGCCAGCGGACCCCGUGCCCCGUUGCAGGAUCCUGUAGGAAUUAAACCAACCCCAGUGAAUUUGGAGUGCUGAGAACUGGCAGAAGCAUCCCAUAAGAGUUCUGGAUUCCAUAGUAAACAGUAUAUUGUGUUUGUCGUGGUUUGAGAGGAAGUGAGUUUUUGGGAGGUGGUAGUGGUCAAACCAAUAGGUGCCCAGAUGUGGAUAUUGGCACCUGGUUUGACCAUUGAGGAUAUGGAUACGCCUCUGAG